rnacentral:rRNA from 1 species
UAAUGAAUUGACGGGGAGCACCACAACGGAUGGAGCUUGCGGUUAAUUGGAUUCAACGCCGGAAAUCUUACCGGGACCGACAGCAAUAUGAAGGCCAGGCUGAAGACUUUGCCGGAUUAGCUGAGAGGUGGUGCAUGGCCGUCGUCAGUUCGUACUGUGAAGCAUCCUGUUAAGUCAGGCAACGAGCGAGACCCACGCCCACAGUUGCCAGCGUACUCUCUGGAGUGACGGGUACACUGUGGGGACCGCCGCUGCUAAAGCGGAGGAAGGAAUGGGCAACGGUAGGUCAGUAUGCCCCGAAUAUCCCGGGCUACACGCGAGCUACAAUGGUUGGUACAAUGGGUAUCUACCCCGAAAGGGGACGGGAAUCUCCUAAAACCAAUCUUAGUUCGGAUUGAGGGCUGCAACUCGCCCUCAUGAAGCUGGAAUCCGUAGUAAUCGCGUUUCAACAGAACGCGGUGAAUACGUCCCUGCUCCUU